rnacentral:lncRNA from 1 species
AUGGGAAUCAAACGUCAAUGCAAGUUGAUGAAACCUCGCUUGAAUGCAAUGUCACAUGAUAAAGCACCAAAUGAAAUCCUGAAGAAUGACGAUGUGUCUACUGAUAUUCAGGGUGAAAGGGGGGAGAAAAUCUCAUCUGAAGACGUUGAUCGUAGAUCCAAUACUAAUAAGAUCAAUCAGAUUUUUCGACCAAAGAAGAUGAAGAAAUAUAGAUCUCUUGCUGAUAUUUACAGGGUGACAAAACCCAUUGAUACUGAAAAUUAA